UUUAUUUUUGUUAUGGCUUUUCGGUUUUUUUAUUUAUUUCGCUUUUCACUUUUUUGUCGCUAUAUAUGCUGUGUUUUUAUUGCUUUUGUUGUUUUUAACAAUUUUUCACUUAAUGGAAUUACAAAGUUUUCUUCUUCAUCUUCUACUUCUUACUGUCUGUUGAUGUUCUUCUUCUUCUUCUUCUUCGUCGUCUUCGCUUUAGAUUUCUGACGUCACAAAAAUUACAAACAUUUCGCUGUCUCGCAACGGAUUUUUAAAUAAUAAAAAAAAUAAAUGUAUAAAAUAUAAUUAGGUUGAACUAAAAGAAAAUAUGACAAAUUGUAGGAGAGAGGGAAGGGGAAAGGUUUCGACUUAUGUGCAUAAAUAAAUAAACGUAGCUUAAAGUUAGCUUAACAAGGCUGCAAUUCAACUUAAAUGUACAUCAAACAAAUAUUACAAACUAAAUAUCGAUUUAUUCGGUACGUAAAAAAAAAAAAACUAUAAUUAAAAUAUUUGUCGUAGUUAUAGAGUUGUGUGUUUAGUUUAUGAUUAGUUUUGGAUAAUUUUACAUUUAACAAUAGGCAACAACACGGAGCAAAUGAUUUUUUUCUUUCUUCGAUUUCGAUUUCGUUAUCGUUUUUUUUUUUAUGUUUAGUUUUAUUUUUUGGUUUGGCAGCUGCAUCAAUCGGCAGUUGGCAACUGUAACUUAGUAGAAAAAGAGAGGCGGAGAGCAGGGCGUGGCAUGUGUGUGUGUGUGUGUGUUGAGAGUGUGUGUUGCAUGAAGCACGUUUGACUUUGCCACACAAAUAAAAA